rnacentral:rRNA from 1 species
UGGGAAUAUUGCACAAUGGGCGCAAGCCCGAUGCAGCCAUGCCGCGUGUGUGAAGAAGGCCUUCGGGUUGUAAAGCACUUUCAGCGAGGAGGAAGGUGGUGAGCUUAAUACGCUCAUCAAUUGACGUUACUCGCAGAAGAAGCACCGGCUAACUCCGUGCCAGCAGCCGCGGUAAUACGGAGGGUGCAAGCGUUAAUCGGAAUUACUGGGCGUAAAGCGCACGCAGGCGGUUUGUUAAGUCAGAUGUGAAAUCCCCGGGCUCAACCUGGGAACUGCAUUUGAAACUGGCAAGCUAGAGUCUCGUAGAGGGGGGUAGAAUUCCAGGUGUAGCGGUGAAAUGCGUAGAGAUCUGGAGGAAUACCGGUGGCGAAGGCGGCCCCCCUGGACGAAGACUGACGCUCAGGUGCGAAAGCGUGGGGCAGCAAACAGGAUUAGAUACCCUGGUAGUCCACGCUGUAAAACGAUGUCGAUUUGGAGGUUGUGCCCUUGAGGCGUGGNUUCCGGAGCUAACGCGUUAAAUCGACCGCC